CUGGCGACAGUAACAUGUGUGGAACAACAAGUCGCGAAAUUAUUCAGGACAGGUAGAAUAACGUGUAAUGGCUACGUCGCGCCGUGAGCAGUAUUUCCCAUCGUAGAUAAGUGCAUUCAAGGUCAGCCGCAGUGCAGUAGACCGUUUCAGCGUUACACGCUUUCCCCGCCGGUGCGGUUCUUUAUCGACUGUUUAAGUCAAUAAUCGGUCAGCCCACAAGGUAUAUGCAUACAUGCAUGCGCAUCAUACGCGUGCAAAUACCGUGGCAGCCGGAACACGACGCGAGUGUGUAAGGGGUGGAGAGUUGCGAGCACGACGUUUAUUAAAUUUAGACACGUGCACGAGGGCGGCUCUUCGUGCGACCAACAAUGGGCAGUUUAGUAUCGUUUUCUGAGUAAAGUACAUGUAGUUGCUAAGUAACACUGUUCUUGGUAUAUCAGAAUAAGGAAGCAACGUUGAUGGCGGUACAAAUAGGGUCGUUGAAUCGAUCGGGAAUUGUAGUUUACAUACCGCGCCGAGUCCUAUCAGGCGAGAAAGGGCCACGACAUCGUUUCAUAUUACUCAAUUCUGUCUCGUUAAUGAACGAGAAAUGGAUUGGUGAUUUUAUAAUCAAUUAUUUAAAUGUCAUGUCAUCAAGAACUUAAACGUCAAUAAAUAACUAAGUUUAACCUUUUUA